rnacentral:rRNA from 1 species
AGGCUGCAACUCGCCUACGUGAAGCUGGAAUUGCUAGUAAUCGCGGAUCAUCAUGCCGCGGUCGAAUACGUUCCCGGGCCUUGUACACACCGCCCGUCACACCAUGGGAGCCGGUAAUACCCGAAGUCGGUAGUCUAACCGCAAGGAGGACGCCGCCGAAGGUAGGAUUGGCGACUGGGGUGAAGUCGUAACAAGGUAGCCGUAUCGGAAGGUGCGGCU